CAGCAGCCGCGGGAAUACGAAGGGGGCUAGCGUUGCUCGGAUUUACUGGGCGUAAAGGGCGCGUAGGCGGACAGUUUAGUCGGGGGUGAAAGCCCGGGGCUCAACCUCGGAAUUGCCUUCGAUACUGGCUGUCUUGAGUACGGGAGAGGUGAGUGGAACUCCGAGUGUAGAGGUGAAAUUCGUAGAUAUUCGGAAGAACACCAGUGGCGAAGGCGACUCACUGGCCCGUUACUGACGCUGAGGCGCGAAAGCGUGGGGAGCAAACAGGAUUAGAUACCCGAGAUCCCUGUCUCUUAUACAC
rnacentral:rRNA from 1 species